AUUUAUACUAGAGAUGAAGACGCUAAUGAAGCUAGUUUUACUUGUGCUAACGAUUUCUACAAUCAAGGUGGCUCUGCAGGUAGCGCAUGUGGUAUAUCGAGGAAAUGGUCUUCAAAUAAACUCGCGUGUACUGAGGAUCCUAACCUAUCGUUGAUUCUACCGAAUAUAACUAUGAUAGAUGAUAUUAAUCUAUUAACUGAUGAUAUAGAUGAUACCUGUACAAACUCAUCUGUAUUUAUAUAUAGUUUUAACUUAGAUAAAGUCUAUGAAGUCUCCAGAGUAGUUGUCACCGUAUCAGCUAACAUAACUUGGGAGAAUCUGGCGGUUCAUGUCAUUGGUACAUUUAAGAACUCGAGCUGUCGGGUUAUAGAUACGAAUUAUCCUACCGUUCGAACAUUUCGAUGUCAACAGUUCCCAAUCGGCAGAACUGUCGUCAUUGAAUCAACAGAUGAGAUGGCUUUAUGUGAAGUAAGAAUAUUUGGUACACCAUGGAAUGGUAAAGCUUUAGAGUGUGCUCGUGAAACCAAUGGGAGGGAUUAUAAAGGUCACUGGAAUUUCACCAUGACUGGAGAAAACUGUGCCGACUGGAGCACUGCGUCUUGUACUAUAGUGGGUCUAGAUUUUGCUGAUGAGAACCCUGGUGAUGUCGGAAAUUAUUGUAGGAACCCUACCACCUAUAGAAAUUCUCCGUGGUGCUUCACCGCUGAUUGUGUAAAGCAGGAUUGUGCCAUACCAUCUUGUAACAAGAUUUGCUCUAACAAGGAUGACGGCUUUGAUUAUAUAGGGAAGAUACGUACAACCCGUAGUGGCACGAGGUGUUCAUCGUUUGAACAUGGCAUGACAGAACAGCCGUUUAUUGGCCAAUCCUUCCCAAGUGGACAACGUAAACCGUACUGUAGAAAUCCUGGAAGAUCUCAUACAAAGGUCUGGUGUUACACCAAAACAAAUACUCAAUAUGAAGAAUGCUAUAUACCGA